rnacentral:rRNA from 1 species
UACAGAGGCCUCGAGCGUUUAGGCGGAAUCACUGGGCUUAAAGCGUGUGUAGGCGGAUCGUUAAGUACCUUGUGAAAUCCCACGGCUCAACCGUGGAACUGCUUGGUAUACUGGCGGUCUUGUGCAACCUAGGGGCGAGCGGAACAGAUGGUGGAGCGGUGAAAUGCGUAGAGAUCAGCAGGAACACCCGUGGCGAAGGCGGCCCCCUGGGCCGUACCUGACGCUGAGGCGCGAAAAGCGUGGGGGAGCAAACAGG